rnacentral:rRNA from 1 species
CAGCAGCCGCGGGAAUACGUAGGUGGCAAGCGUUGUCCGGAAUUAUUGGGCGUAAAGGGCCCGCAGGCGGUUUCUUAAGUCUGAUGUGAAAGCCCCCGGCUCAACCGGGGAGGGUCAUUGGAAACUGGGAAACUUGAGUGCAGAAGAGGAGAGUGGAAUUCCACGUGUAGCGGUGAGAUGCGUAGAGAUGUGGAGGAACACCAGUGGCGAAGGCGGCUCUCUGGUCUGUAACUGACGCUGAGGAGCGAAAGCGUGGGGAGCGAACAGGAUUAGAUACCCGCGUAGUCCCUGUCUCUUAUAC